ensembl:lncRNA
UGAAAAUGGACUGAUGGAUGAUUUCGGAGAGGCAAGAUGGGCCAAAGGAUUUAGUUGUACAAGGUACUUGAAAUUAAUAUAGAAAUCCAUGAGUGAGAGAGAGAACAGAACACAGAAGAGGAACACAGACAUCUGGAGUUUUUAAUUUCAUGAGGAUGGUUCUGGGUAAAUGAGUCCUGCCCAAAUGAAUAGAGUCAUAAAAAGAAAUAAAGUUUAAAAGCCCUGGAAUUAAUCAAGUUAUAGACACACUGUGAACAUCAGGAAUGUUUCAUAAAUUGAAUACUGGGAGCUAGGUGUGUGUGUGUGAUAAUCACAGUGGCUGGCUCUAUACUCUCCUGUAAUUUCAGCAGAUGUUAAAUCUCUCUCCAGAGGAGGUGGAUGUUGCUCAUGCUGAACAGCAUCAGAUCUGGAGUCUCUCUCCCUACAGUGUGUCGGAGGUUAAUGUAAAAAUCUAACUCAGCAGCAUGUGAAGUUUGGAGCACCACUGCACCUCACACCACCCUUCACAUCCUAUACAUAUGCUCUGUUAUAAACCUUAGCAGCACUUCAAGCAGUUGUUCGAAAAACUGUGAUUCCCAUUCACUUACAUUAUAAGACUGACAGACUGCAACAGUUUGAGCUGAAAGUCUUGGUUUGUGUUCUACUGAAGAAACAAAGUCACCUACAUCUUGGAUGCCCUGGGGGACGGAGCACUGAUAACCAACACACAGUGCUGAGGCUUGCAAAGAGCUGCUCUGCUGAAAGCUAGUAAAAAUCCUCAAAAGACAUCGAACCUGGAAGGGAGACAUGUAACGCACGCCACUGAUGAAUAAUGCGAUUACAGCGGCACACAAAACAUCCCUCCCAGAAAAAAAAAAACAACAAAAAACGAUCUUAUCGAGCAGUUUGUGCACAUAGUUGUGCAGAGAAGAAUGGCCCAUUUACU